rnacentral:tRNA from 1 species
UAGCUGGUUAGGAUAAUCGGCUCUCACCCGAGAGACCCGGGUUCGAGUCCCGGCAACGGAA